rnacentral:lncRNA from 1 species
CUUAAAAAGAAGCUUGUCAACUGCUGCAGUCUUUCUGAACCUGGGGUGUGGCUUUUUUUGGGUAUAACUCAGACAGUUCCAUUGUCUAGCAGGUAGGAGGGGCAUUACAUUGUCACGGAUCACAUCUUUUUCCUCACACGUCCACAAACCUGGAAGAUUAAUUAUACUCUCGUUUGUAAAAUGCAGUACCCCAAGUGAUUAGGGAAGAAAGGAAUUGAGAACAUGAUUUUAAGUACCUAAAAGCAACACAGCCGUAGCUUGAUUUGAAAGAAAACAGCUGACAAGAAAAACAAUAAGGCAAAAAUAUGGAGCAGCGUCGCUGAGGCUGGGGGAGGGAAGAGGACUCAAAGAGGACUCAGGGGCUCUGCAAGAGGACGUGCAGUGAGGGACAGAAGCACCAGCCCUCCCAUCAGUGGCUUCCACGCGCAGUGUCGGUGCAAACCACCGGUGAGGCACACUUGUGUAGUGAGCGCAGCAGCAGCAGGGCGGACGUGCAUUCCUGUCCACAGCCAUGGUGGUGAGGUCUGGCAGAAGAGCUGCAGCUCCGUGGGUGGAAAAUGUGCUUUGCUUCAUUGAGGACUGCAAGUGCAACUCUCCUGCUGCAAAGUGCGUGCCCGCUUAAUCAGCUAAAGGAGCAAUAUUGUGCAAAGUGCCCCCCACCCAACAGGCUGCUCUGCAACAGGAAUCAAUCAGGUCCCAACUUUCCAGCUGAGGUGUAGAACCUGGUAACACCCUGCAUCUUGUGACCAGCUGCCCUCACUCAGCAGUGAUGGGAAUGUCCUUGAGUCUUUAUGGACCUGUUCCUGCAAUGCAGCUUUUCAGCUGGUGAGGAGACCUUGCAGUGAUGCAUCAAGUGGUAAGGAGGGGUUUCAUCACUUUUUCCAUUAUAAAAUAGCUUUCCCUCUUCCCCCUGCCCUUCCCUUCUCCCCCAAGGAUCACUGCCAAUUGACACAGAGUUGCAAUGGGAUAUUCACAGACUUAAUCUCAUCCCUGUUUGAAGAGAAACCUGGUGAGUUAUUUUUAACAUUUGUACAUAUCUGAAUGAUAUGAAUGUGGUCUGUUGUGCUGUGAGCCACGAGCACUCCAGAGACCUGGGGCUGAAAAGAGAAUCAGCUUUUAAAUAUUAAGUGGGAGGCACUUCACUGACCUCUUCUCGAUAGAUA